rnacentral:lncRNA from 1 species
ACCUAACGAGCAUACAAACAACAGAUUCAAUUUAAAAAACAACAUUUACUAUCAUUCAGGUACAUGCUGUUGAGACCAGAUCAAGUGCUUUGGAUCUUCACAAGCAUCAAAACUUCCUCAGAACAUUUUGCUUGGCCCACGAUGUCACGCCCCAACCCUCAGGCAUGCACACAUCCCUUACUUAUGGUCGAUUUUAAAAUGCGAUAUCCCAGGACUAUGUAUCGCCAACCCUUUCAAUUAUAUAUGCACAUGCGGAAGCAGUUAUAAAUCCCCAGACAAUAAAGCAAUGGGAUAGAAAAGCAUGCCAUACAUUUUUCUUACUGAAAAUUCACAACUACAUCUUUUUACAUGCAAACAAAGUCUGACAAGACAGGAUAGGAUUUCGGUCCUCAUCCGGGUCGUACUCGAUGUCAUACUCGGGGUCCUCCUCCACGUACUCCUCUUUGGGUUCCUCAACAGGGAUCUCCUCAUCAGAUUCAUGCUCCUUAGGCUCCUCAUCCAGGUCCUGAAAUGGGUAUUCAAUAACCACUGAGACCACGUGUCAGCAAGUUCUACUUCCUAAGACUCGAUUAGUAAACUAAUACACCUUAGGGCUGCCUAUGCACAACAUGAAUUAGAAGACUUACCUUAGCCUCAGAUUCCACCUGCAUAUUAGUACAGAUCGAAUAGGCACACAAGCAAUCACAUCACAGAUCGAAGCAUCGAUUUAAUCGACUUAGUCGAUUUCACAACAGGAAGACCACUCACGAUCAUCUCCCUUCAAUCAUUCAAUUCACAACAUCAAAUCAAGGCAAUGCAUCACAUCAAAACACACUCAGAUCGAAUCAUCGAUCAAUCGACCUAGUCGAUUACAAGCCAGACGGAUCAUUUCUAGGUCCUUCAUCCAACACCAAGCAAUUCCUUAGAUUUAGUGGCUUUACGGUCCCACCUGACCCUCUCAAGAACUAGUGGCUUUUCGGUCCCACCCGACCCUCUCGAGAACUAGUGGCUUUACGGUCCCACCCGACCCUCUCGAGAACUAGUGGCUUUUCGGUCCCACCCGACCCUCUCGAGAACUAAUGGCUUUACGGUCCCACCCGACCCUCUCGAGAACUAGUGGCUUUACGGUCCCACCCGACCCUCUCAAGAUGCCAUACUAUGUCACCGAGCCACGUGCAUUCUCCAGGAAGACAUACCGAGUCUCCGAGCCACGUGCAUUCUCUAAGGCUACCUUUUCGCCAAGAUGACAUAUCUAAUCACCGAGCCACGUGUCUUUCCCAAGUAACAUUCCAAUUCACUGGGCCACAUGCAUCCUCAAGGUGAUUUACCAACUCACUUUCGAUACUAACAACCGAUAUCUGACCAAUUCUCAAUAACAAGGCCAAAAUUGCAUUAUUUAAUAACAUACUUAGAAAUGCACCAUUAAAUCAAUUCGACACGAAUUAAAGCUCAAAUAAAUAAACGGACUGCUCCACGACAAUCAGUACGAAAUUCCAGUCACUGGCCAUCCCAGUUGAAUUUCCGGAAAAUAAAUAAUUAAAUAAUUAAUUUCGAAAAUUAAAUAAAUAAAUACAAUAAAUUCAAUUUAGCACAAUAUAAAGCUCAAUUAAAUAAAUGGACUGCGCCACGAUCAUCAGCAUAAAAUCCCGGUAACUAGCCAUCCCAGUUGAAUUUCCGAGAAAUAAAUAUUAAAUAAUUAAUUUCGAAAAUUAAUAUUUAAUUCCUAAAAAUACCACCUAGGCCCGAAUUGCUUAAUUAACACCCGAUAAGGGACGGGAAAAAUCCCAAGAAGCAUCCAAUAAAUACUACAUGCAAUUCUCUAUCUAAUUACACUAAUUACAUCACUAAUAUACAAAGCAAUUAACUAAUAAUCCCUAAUCCAUUCUAAUCUAACAACCUAAUUACACUUAAUUAACACUAAUCAACCGUUAAGUAUAAUUAGCACACCAAGAAGGCAUUAGUGAGUAAAACUCACACAAAACGACGGGCUCGACGCGAGGAUCAACUUUCCUCAAAGCGGGCCGAGCAUCCGGGCUCGGGAAGGCGGCCAAAACGGGCCAAAACCUCACUGCAAACCCAUUUCUACAAUCCUCUGAUCGCUGCUGGUCGGGGCAGAUUUGGGGCCGGUUGAGGCGGCCAAGGGCGGCUGAGGGCGAGGCGGAGCUCCGGCGAGGCUGACGGUGGCCGGAGGAGGUCAGGCGGUGGCCGGAGGCGGCUGAUCGGGACUUAACAGAGGCGGAACAGGGGUUGGGUCGCAUAGCGGGGACGGGAGGCGCGAGCGUGAGGCGGUGGAGCGCGCGGCGUUGCGCGGGCGGCGGUGCGGCAACUCCGGUGCGACGGCGUCCAAGCAGCUGGUCGCGGCUCCUUCCGACGACGCUGGAAGCUGCUUCUGCUUCUGCUAUUCGAUUCUGUUCGAACCAGAGGAGGAGAGGGGGCGGAGAUGCGCAGAUGGCAGCACGGCGGUGGGCUCGGGUUCGCGAGCAGCUCCGAUGCUUGUGGGCGUGCGACAACUUCAGGCGACAUACGACGCUACUGGUUGUCUCGGCGUCCUCCCAGAUCUGCGGGGCGUCGAGCAACCACCGAAGAAGAAGAAGAAGUAAUCGACGGUAGUAGAAGGGGGAAGAGGAAGGCGGAGGGCGGAGCAACGGCGAGAGCGAGGCAAAGCGGCGGCGGCGACUCCAGCUUCAGCUGCUGGCUGCAACGGCGAGCUGCUUCUGCUUCGCUGGUCUUUGGCUUCCAUGGUGUUGAGCAGCCGAAGAGGAAGAUGGGGGGGUGUUUUGGUCGACGGAGGAGAGAGGAGGAAGAAGAAAUCAAUUUCCCCUCUUCCUCUCACACACUCUCUCUCUUAGGUCAUCACACAUGGGCUACCAUGACAUCAUGUGAUGUCACCUUCCACUCACAAUUUCUUGUCAAUUCUACCCCUUCUAGAAGCCUUUAGAUAGGCCAAAAUGUGGGGGCAUGUGUGGCAUACGAAUUUGCUAGGUUUUCUUUCCAAUUGGGCCUUAAUUCCUCUUGAAUUAAACCAUUAAUUUAUGCAACACCUCAUCAUUCCAAUUGGUAUUUUUCCUUACCAAUGUAGCCCCACUUGCAUCCCAAUUUCACAAUCAUUGGCUUCAACCGAACAAAAGCGGCCCUAUUAUCCAGUCGAAUUUAGAAUUCGAAAAUCAGGAUGUCACACACGAGCCUCUUCAAGUUUGGCAUCUCAGCUGUUGCCGAUGCUUUCUCUGCAAAAUUGGUCUCAGGUAUGGAAUUUGAAGU